UGCUCCUGCCCUCCUCCUGCAGUAGGCCGACUCCCUCUCUACCGAGGGGGUUGGUGGUUCUUUCCCCCACUCUGCCAGCAAUCACGGCCAUGGUGAAGACAGAGUGUUGACCUAUUGCUGGGAUUCUCCCCUUGCUCUGGCUGACUUGAAAUCCUGAGAGGCAGUGGGUUGAUGUGCUGGCUCCUAGCAGUGGCCCUCAGCCAGAUUGCAGGCUUAGCAGCGGGAGCAGGAAGAACAGAGGCCCCUCUAAAUUGCCCUGCUCAUACUGGAUGGCAGGCCGUGGGUGGAGCCUUCUUCCAAGUCUUCGAGUGGGUUGUAGCCUGGCAGUGUUGCUGCUGACAUAGACUGUCAUGUCCUGGCUGCCGCGCAGUUUGCCCUGGCUCAUGGCUUCUUGUGCUUUGGUGGUUGUGGUCUCUUGAAUUUCAGGGAAUCUGUCAGGUGGAUGAAGGCUGAUGGGGAGGGGUUGUGUGGUUGCAAGCCCAGAAGGUACUCAUGAGUCCUGGUUUUGGAAGGAAAGGAAGAGCCUCCUCAAUGCGAGGGGAUAAAGGAGCCUAAACCAGACUGGCAUUCAGAUUGACAGUCAGCCAUUGGAACCUCAUUUAGCCUCUGCAGAAGGCACCACUGGAAAGCAGACACAUCAGGAUACCUGGAGGUAGCAAAGGUGUUGACCUGUGUAGGAAUCGGUACUCUGGAGUCCUUUGGUUAUGUGGCACUUCUCAUAGACACCGAGGUCAUUCUUGCUGGCCUCCAGGUGGAAGGCAAUGGUGUCAAGAUACUCUUCUGCUAUUCGGGUACUAGUGGCCUGUCUGGACUCUAGGCAAUGUCAAUGUCAGAUAGGACAUGGAUGGUGUUUGGAAGCCUCUGGAGCAAGUUGUGAUUCCUCCCGUGGGGCCUCUCUGGCGGCCAGCUUAGGAAACAAUGGCAGAAAUGCCCUUGAGGUGCAAGGCUGUAUGGAGUUUGGAACUGACUGCCUCAAACCUAUGCUCAUGUGCAGUGGAGUAUGCCCAAGAGACCCUGGAUUGCUGGGAUUCAUUUCUGGUCUUUGGCAGUCUGAGUGUGCACUUUCUCUUGGCAGAACUCAGCCUCCUUGAGUCUCCCCCUCAUAGGAGUUCUUGGGAUGGGAAACACCGAUGCAGUGUCCACAACCUCAGACCUAUUUCAGGGACCCUUGAGGAGUAAGGUGUGUCCCCUAAAGACAGAUGGUCCGAGACGGACAGCAUGCCUUGGAAAAAAGGCACAGAAACAGAAGGAGGUAUGGGAAAGAGAAACACACAGAGACAGAGACAGAGACAGAGACAGAGACAGAGACAGAGACAGAGAUGUGGUGAAAUGGAGACAAACACAUAGAGAAGGAGAUUGUUAAACAAUGUCUGGAAGCCCUGCCAGGUCUUCUGUCACUUGGGAAGAAGGCCUAAGAGGAAACUUUGUCGUGGUCUGACCUGAAGCACCUCAGGUCUUUGGUAGGACAGAGUGUUGUAGAUUUCAGGAGCAUUGCCACAGUAAUAUAGAGGCCUGCCUGGUUUUGAGAUAGAGUUUGAAGGAGGAGGAGGACGAGGCCCAGGGGAAGGCCGACAAUGAGGAGAAAGAGGCAUGGAGAACAAGGCUACUGCUGAUGCUAGCUAGCUUUGAGAUGGAGAGAGCAAGUUGAGUUUGCACUGUCCAGUGACCCCAGGGGACAGGGUUUCAGGGCUGAGGUUUUCCUAGGGGGCCUUUAGGAUGUUUCUUGAAGAGUGUGCUCGCUGCUGUAUCUGAAUGUGUUGUGUUGACAGAAACUGGUUGGUUGACUUCAGGGUGGGGCAAAGAUCCUCUUACAGGCCAAGCAGGAGCUCUUGGGCCCUGGAGCGAACCCGGCCAACCUCUGACAAGCAAUGCUGGAGGUUUUGGGCAGAGCAGGAGUGGUGAGACAGCAGAAGUGAUCUGAUCAUCCCAUGGAGACUAGCAAAGAUAAGCCCUCCCAGCUCCAAUUCGACAGUUCCCACUGGAACGGUGGCAUGUGCUUUUAUGUGUUCACAGUGUCCCACUCUGGGUCCUGCAUGGCCUGAGUGCACAGAGGAUGGCCCAGCAUCCUUCGCACAGGGCUGGUUGCUCCUGACUAAGCCUCCAGUGAAGUUGCCUGGUGUUGCUGACAUGCCUGAGAAGGCCCGAAGAUGGAAGAUGAAGGUACGCCUCCCAAGAAUUGCCCCAUAUGCUCAGGAUUCUCGGGUCUUGGUGGUGUUGCUAGGCAUUGACCAUUCGUGCUUCCGGGCCUGUGUGCACGUGUAACAGACUUAGGUGCUCAAGGUGCUGCCCGGUUGCUUGUAGGGGCCCAUUGCAGUGUGUUCGCCUUCCUGGUCUGGGGCACUUGUUGAUAUUUCUUCUGGCACCCCACCAACACCCGCGCUGUCCAUGAGUGUCUGUGCUGAAUAUCUGGGUGCAAGGGCACUGCAGCGUGCAUGGAUCGAUGAUGAUUCAAGUCAAACAUUCCUUGGAAAAGCUGAACAAAAUGAGUGAAAUCUCAGUUCGCCUCUCUCAUCGGGACUGAGGUCCGGCACCUUGGGUCACCCACGUCCUCCGGGAGUCAGACACAGGCUUGGGAACCACUCCACUGCUCCUGCCCUCCUCCUGCAGUAGGCCGACUCCCUCUCUACCGAGGGGGUUGGUGGUUCUUUCCCCCACUCUGCCAGCAAUCACGGCCAUGGUGAAGACAGAGUGUUGACCUAUUGCUGGGAUUCUCCCCUUGCUCUGGCUGACUUGAAAUCCUGAGAGGCAGUGGGUUGAUGUGCUGGCUCCUAGCAGUGGCCCUCAGCCAGAUUGCAGGCUUAGCAGCGGGAGCAGGAAGAACAGAGGCCCCUCUAAUUUGCCCUGCUCAUACUGGAUGGCAGGCCCUGGGUGGAGCCUUCUUCCAAGUCUUCGAGUGGGUUGUAGCCUGGCAGUGUUGCUGCUGACAUAGACUGUCAUGUCCUGGCUGCCGCGCAGUUUGCCCUGGCUCAUGGCUUCUUGUGCUUUGGUGGUUGUGGUCUCUUGAAUUUCAGGGAAUCUGUCAGGUGGAUGAAGGCUGAUGGGGAGGGGUUGUGUGGUUGCAAGCCCAGAAGGUACUCAUGAGUCCUGGUUUUGGAAGGAAAGGAAGAGCCUCCUCAAUGCGAGGGGAUAAAGGAGCCUAAACCAGACUGGCAUUCAGAUUGACAGUCAGCCAUUGGAACCUCAUUUAGCCUCUGCAGAAGGCACCACUGGAAAGCAGACACAUCAGGAUACCUGGAGGUAGCAAAGGUGUUGACCUGUGUAGGAAUCGGUACUCUGGAGUCCUUUGGUUAUGUGGCACUUCUCAUAGACACCGAGGUCAUUCUUGCUGGCCUCCAGGUGGAAGGCAAUGGUGUCAAGAUACUCUUCUGCUAUUCGGGUACUAGUGGCCUGUCUGGACUCUAGGCAAUGUCAAUGCCAGAUAGGACAUGGAUGGUGUUUGGAAGCCUCUGGAGCAAGUUGUGAUUCCUCCCGAGGGGCCUCUCUGGCGGCCAGCUUAGGAAACAAUGGCAGAAAUGCCCUUGAGGUGCAAGGCUGUAUGGAGUUUGGACCUGACUGCCUCAAACCUAUGCUCAUGUGCAGUGGAGUAUGCCCAAGAGACCCUGGAUUGCUGGGAUGCAUUUCUGGUCUUUGGCAGUCUGAGUGUGCACUUUCUCUUGGCAGAACUCAGCCUCCUUGAGUCUCCCCCUCAUAGGAGUUCUUGGGAUGGGAAACACCGAUGCAGUGUCCACAACCUCAGACCUAUUUCAGGGACCCUUGAGGAGUAAGGUGUGUCCCCUAAAGACAGAUGGUCCGAGACGGACAGCAUGCCUUGGAAAAAAGGCACAGAAACAGAAGGAGGUAUGGGAAAGAGAAACACACAUAGACAGGGACAGAGACAGAGACAGAGACAGAGACAGAGACAGAGAUGUGGUGAAAUGGAGACAAACACAUAGAGAAGGAGAUUGUUAAACAAUGUCUGGCAGCCCUGCCAGGUCUUCUGUCACUUGGGAAGAAGGCCUAAGAGGAAACUUUGUCAUGGUCUGACCUGAAGCACCUCAGGUCUUUGGUAGGACAGAGUGUUGUAGAUUUCAGGAGCAUUGCCACAGUAAUAUAGAGGCCUGCCUGGUUUUGAGAUAGAGUUUGAAGGAGGAGGAGGAUGAGGCCCAGGGGAAGGCCGACAAUGAGGAGAAUGAGGCAUGGAGAACAAGGCUACAGCUGAUGCUAGCUAGCUUUGAGAUGGAGAGAGCAAAUUGAGUUUGCACUGUCCAGUGACCCCAGGGGACAGGGUUUCCGGGCUGAGGUUUUCCUAGGGGGCCUUUAGGAUGUUUCUUGAAGAGUGUGCUCGCUGCUGUCGAGGUAUCUGGAUGUGUUGUGUUGCCAGAAACUUGUUGGUUGACUGCAGGGUGGGGCAAACAUCCUCUUACAGGCCAAGCAGGAGCUCUUGGGCCCUGGAGCGAACCCGGCCUACCUCUGACAAGCCAUGCUGGAGGUUUUGGGCAGAGCAGGAGUGGUGAGACAGCAGAAGUGAUCUGAUCAUCCCAUGGAGACUAGCAAAGAUAAGCCCUCCUAGCUCCAAUUCGACAGUUCCCACUGGAACGGUGGCAUGUGCUUUUAUGUGUUCAGUUUCCAGCUCUUGGUCCUGCAUGGCCUGAAUGCACAGAGGAUGGCCCAGCAUCCUUCGCACAGGGCUGGUUGCUCCUGACUAAGCCUCCAGUGAAGUUGCCUGGUGUUGCUGACAUGCCUGAGAAGGCCCGAAGAUGGAAGAUGAAGGUACGCCUCCCAAGAAUUGCCCCAUAUGCUCAGGAUUCUCGGGUCUUGGUGGUGUUGCUAGGUAUUGACCAUUCGUGCAUCCGGGCCUGUGUGCACGUGUAACAGACUUAGGUGCUCAAGGUGCUGCCCGGUUGCUUGCAGAGGCCCAUUGCAGUGUGUUCGCCUUCCUGGUCUGGGGCACUUGUUGAUAUUUCUUCUGGCACCCCACCAACACCCGUGCUGUCCAUGAGUGUCUGUGCUGAAUAUCUGGAUGCAAGGGCACUGCAGCGUGCAUGGAUCGAUGAUGAUUCAAGUCAAACAUUCCUUGGAAAAGCUGAACAAAAUGAGUGAAAUCUCAGUUCGCCUCUCUCAUCGGGACUGAGGUCCGGCACCUUGGGUCCCCCACGUCCUCCGGGAGUCAGACACAGGCUUGGGAACCACUCCACUGCUCCUGCCCUCCUCCUGCAGUAGGCCGACUCCCUCUCUACCGAGGGGGUUGGUGGUUCUUUCCCCCACUCUGGCAGCAAUCACGGCCAUGGUGAAGACAGAGUGUUGACCUAUUGCUGGGAUUCUCCCCUUGCUCUGACUGACUUGAUAUCCUGAGAGGCAGUGGGUUGAUGUGCUGGCUCCUAGCAGUGGCCCUCAGCCAGAUUGCAGGCUUAGCAGCGGGAGCAGGAAGAACAGAGGCCCCUCUAAUUUGCCCUGCUCAUACUGGAUGGCAGGCCCUGGGUGGAGCCUUCUUCCAAGUCUUAGAGUGGGUUGUAGCCUGGCUGUGUUGCUGCUGACAUAGACUCUCAUGUCCUGGCUGCCGCGCAGUUUGCCCUGGCUCAUGGCUUCUUGUGCUUUGGUGGUUGUGGUCUCUUGAAUUUCGGGGAAUCUGUCAGGUGGAUGAAGGCUGAUGGGGAGGGGUUGUGUGGUUGCAAGCCCAGAAGGUACUCAUGAGUCCUGGUUUUGGAAGGAAAGGAAGAGCCUCCUCAAUGCGAGUGGAUAAAGGAGCCUAAACCAGACUGGCAUUCAGAUUGACAGUCAGCCAUUAGAACAUCAUUUAGCCUCUGCAGAAGGCACGACUGGAAAGCAGACACAUCAGGAUACCUGGAGGUAGCAAAGGUGGUGACCUGUGUAGGAAUCGGGUCUCUGGAGUCCCUUGUUGGUGUAGCACUUCUCUUAGACACCGAGGUCAUUCUUGCUGGCCUCCAGGUGGAAGGCAAUGGUGUCAAGAUGCUCUUCUGCUAUUCGGCUACUAGUGGCCUGUCUGGACUCUAGGCAAUGUCGAAGCCAGGUAGAACAUGGAUGGUGUUUGGAAGCCUCUGGAGCAAGUUGUGAUUCCUCCCGAGGGGCCUCUCUGGCGGCCAGCUUUGGAAACAAUGGCAGAAAUUCCCUUGAGGUGCAAGGCUGUAUGGAGUUUGGAACUGACUGCCUCAAACCUAUGCUCAUGUGCAGUGGAGUAUGCCCAAGAGACCCUGGAUUGCUGGGUUGCAUUUCUGGUCUUUGGCAGUCUGAGUGUGCACUUUCUCUUGGCAGAACUCAGCCUCCUUGAGUCUCCCCCUCAUAGGAGUUCUUGGGAUGGGAAACACCGAUGCAGUGUCCACAACCUCAGACCUAUUUCAGGGACCCUUGAGGAGUAAGGUGUGUCCCCUAAAGACAGAUGGUCCGAGACGGACAGCAUGCCUUGGAAAAAAGGCACAGAAACAGAAGGAGGUAUGGGAAAGAGAAACACACAUAGACAGGGACAGAGACAGAGACAGAGACAGAGACAGAGAUGUGGUGAAAUGGAGACAAACACAUAGAGAAGGAGAUUGUUAAACAAUGUCUGGCAGCCCUGCCAGGUCUUCUGUCACUUGGGAAGAAGGCCUAAGAGGAAACUUUGUCGUGGUCUGACCUGAAGCACCUCAGGUCUUUGGUAGGACAGAGUGUUGUAGAUUUCAGGAGCAUUGCCACAGUAAUAUAGAGGCCUGCCUGGUUUUGAGAUAGAGUUUGAAGGAGGAGGAGGACGAGGCCCAGGGGAAGGCCGACAAUGAGGAGAAUGAGGCAUGGAGAACAAGGCUACAGCUGAUGCUAGCUAGCUUUGAGAUGGAGAGAGCAAAUUGAGUUUGCACUGUCCAGUGACCCCAGGGGACAGGGUUUCCGGGCUGAGGUUUUCCUAGGGGGCCUUUAGGAUGUUUCUUGAAGAGUGUGCUCGCUGCUGUCGAGGUAUCUGGAUGUGUUGUGUUGCCAGAAACUUGUUGGUUGACUGCAGGGUAGGGCAAACAUCCUCUUACAGGCCAAGCAGGAGCUCUUGGGCCCUGGAGCGAACCCGGCCUACCUCUGACAAGCCAUGCUGGAGGUUUUGGGCAGAGCAGGAGUGGUGAGACAGCAGAAGUGAUCUGAUCAUCCC
rnacentral:lncRNA from 1 species